rnacentral:rRNA from 1 species
GGCUAACGCUGGCGGCGUGUCUUAGCCAUGCAAGUCGAGCGGACUUAUGGGGUAACUUAUAAGUCAGCGGCGGACGGCGGAGUAACACGUAGCUAACCUACCCUCUGGACGGGGAUAACCUACCGAAAGGUGGGCUAAUACCCGAUGUAGUCAUCCUGUAUAGGGGUGAUGAAAGGUGGGCUUCUGUUUACAAGCUCAUGCUGGAGGAGGGGGCUGCGGCCUAUCAGGUAGUUGGUAGGGUAAUAGCCUACCAAGCCGAUGACGGGUAGCCGGCCUGAGAGGGUGACCGGCCCGAGGGGCACUGAGAUACGGGUCCCACUCCUACGGGAGGCAGCAGGCUAGAAAUUUGGGCAAUGGGGGAAACCCUGACCCAGUGACGCCGCGUGCAGGAAGGAGCCCUUCGGGGUGUAAACUGCUGUCGUGUAGGGAGAAGGGUACUAAGGUGAACAAUCUUAGUACUUGACGGUACUACAGGAGGAAGCCCAGGCUAACCCUCGUG